CGGCCAGACUCCUACGGGAGGCAGCAGUGGGGAAUAUUGCACAAUGGGGGAAACCCUGAUGCAGCGACGCCGCGUGAGUGAAGAAGUAUUUCGGUAUGUAAAGCUCUAUCAGCAGGGAAGAAGAAAGACGGUACCUGACUAAGAAGCCCCGGCUAACUACGUGCCAGCAGCCGCGGUAAUACGUAGGGGGCGAGCGUUAUCCGGAUUCACUGGGUGUAAAGGGAGCGUAGACGGCCAAGCAAGCCAGGGGUGAAAGCCCGGGGCCCAACCCCCGGACUGCUCUGGAAACUGUACGGCUGGAGUGCAGGAGAGGUAAGUGGAAUUCCUAGUGUAGCGGUGAAAUGCGUAGAUAUUAGGAGGAACACCAGUGGCGAAGGCGGCUUACUGGACUGUAACUGACGUUGAGGCUCGAAAGCGUGGGGAGCAAACAGGAUUAGAUACCCCGGUAAG
rnacentral:rRNA from 1 species